GAUGAACGCUGGCGGCGUGCCUAAUACAUGCAAGCCGAGCGAACGGACGAGAAGCUUGCUUCUCUGAUGUUAGCGGCGGACGGGUGAGUAACACGUGGAUAACCUACCUAUAAGACUGGGAUAACUUCGGGAAACCGUAGCUAAUACCGGAUAAUAUUUUGAACCGCAUGGUUCAAAAGUGAAAGACGGUCUUGCUGUCACUUAUAGAUGGAUCCGCGCUGCAUUAGCUAGUUGGUAAGGUAACGGCUUACCAAGGCAACGAUGCAUAGCCGACCUGAGAGGGUGAUCGGCCACACUGGAACUGAGACACGGUCCAGACUCCUACGGGAGGCAGCAGUAGGGAAUCUUCCGCAAUGGUCGAAAGCCUGACGGAGCAACGCCGCGUGAGUGAUGAAGGUCUUCGGAUCGUAAAACUCUGUUAUUAGGGAAGAACAUAUGUGUAAGUAACUGUGCACAUCUUGACGGUACCUAAUCAGAAAGCCACGGCUAACUACGUG
rnacentral:rRNA from 1 species